GAGUGCCUACGGGACGCAGCAGUAGGGAAUCUUCGGUAAUGGGGGCAACCCUGACCGAGCAACGCCGCGUGAGUGAAGAAGGUUUUCGGAUCGUAAAGCUCUGUUGUAAGAGAAGAACGUGUGUGAGAGUGGAAAGUUCACACAGUGACGGUAACUUACCAGAAAGGGACGGCUAACUACGUGCCAGCAGCCGCGGUAAUACGUAGGUCCCGAGCGUUAUCCGGAUUUAUUGGGCGUAAAGCGAGCGCAGGCGGUUGGAUAAGUCUGAAGUUAAAGGUUGGGGGUUAACCAUAGUAUGCUUUGGG
rnacentral:rRNA from 1 species